UCAUUAUGGAUUAAAUUUCGACUUUCUUCGGAAUUAAUAAUAAUCCGAUAGAGAUUUACACUGAUUUCGAACGUCGGCUGCAUGGAAGCCUCACAGCUUCUUUUCCGGAGACAACUGUCCAAACGACCUAUCAUUCUUACUGUUGGGCUUUAUUAAUGGAAGCUGAAAUGCGAGGUCUUUUACCAUUCAACAUCGACGUAAAAAUUAUCUU